CUUUUUCAUGUUAUCUCUUGCGCUAACGGCCAAAGCGCGUGGCAUUAGUGUUUUCAAAGGCAACCGUUGAUAACGGCUGGGUUGUCAAAACUUCAUCAGCGGUCAAGAAGCACCAACGAGUCUUUUUUACUAGCUAACAACGUUAAUUGGAAAACAGAAAUCGCACUAGUAGUCCGACGGGCAUCUUUAAUUGUAUUGGUGACUGAGUUUUGGUGAGGGCAAACAAAAUGAUAUUGCAAAGUUAACAAGAGGAGAACUGAGUUUUUCAACAGCGAAGGUGGUGAUAUUGCCAGAGCUCUUUAUGAUGGAUGCAAAUGAUUCAAAUGCAUACAAGCAUGAAUCUCAGGCCAAAUACAAGCAGGCAAGAGAAGAGCGAAAGAUGCUCUUCACCACUGCACACAACUACAUGAUUGACAUCCUGGCUGACAGGCUGUCCUUGGAGCCAACAGCAGUAGAGGAAUUCAUUUUAGAUUCUUCAUCUCUGGCUGCUUUUGAUAAUUUCUUCGCCAAAGGAGGUUGUAAAACCA